GUGAGGAAUAUUGCGCAAUGGAGGCAACUCUGACGCAGCCAUGCCGCGUGCAGGAAGAAGGCGCUACGCGUUGUAAACUGCUUUUAACCGGGAAGAAACCCCAGGACGUGUCCUGGGUUGACGGUACCGGAGGAAUAAGCACCGGCUAACUUCGUGCCAGCAGCCGCGGUAAUACGAAGGGUGCAAGCGUUAUCCGGAUUCAUUGGGUUUAAAGGGUGCGUAGGCGGAGCGUUAAGUAAGUGGUGAAAUCCUGCAGCUUAACUGUAGACUUGCCAUUGAUACUGGCGCUCUUGAGUGCGCUUGAAGUGGGCGGAAUGUGCCGUGUAGCGGUGAAAUGCUUAGAUAUGGCACAGAACACCAAGUGCGAAGGCAGCUCACUAAGGCGAUACUGACGCUGAGGCACGAAAGCGUGGGGAUCGAACAGGAUUAGAAACCCCAGUAGUCC
rnacentral:rRNA from 1 species